GACAGAGGAUGCAAGCGUUAUCCGGAAUGAUUGGGCGUAAAGCGUCUGUAGGUGGCUUUUUAAGUCUGCCGUCAAAUCCCAGGGCUUAACCCUGGACAGGCGGUGGAAACUACCAAGCUGGAGUACGGUAGGGGCAGAGGGAAUUUCCGGUGGAGCGGUGAAAUGCGUAGAGAUCGGGUGGAACACCAGGGGCGAAGGCGGCCUGCUGGCUCUUGACUGACACUGAGGCGCGAGAGCGUGGGGAGCAAACGGG
rnacentral:rRNA from 1 species